AUGGUUUUCAGGUAACAAGAUUCGUCUCUGGAAUAAGGGUGUUGAUUCCAAAAGCUUCCAUCCCAAAUAUCGCUCUCAAGAAAUGCGAAUAAGACUAAGCAAUGGAGAGCCCGAGAGACCAUUGAUAGUCCAUGUUGGACGACUAGGAGUUGAGAAGAGUUUGGAUUUACUCAAAAGUGUCAUGGACUAGAUACCGGAGGCACGAAUUGCUUUUAUUGGAGAUGGACCAUACAGGGAGGAUCUCGAAAAGCUGUUCUCCGGCAUGCCUGCCAUAUUCACAGGGAUGUUAGGAGGUGAAGAGCUCUCUCAAGCAUACGCCAGCGGAGAUGUUUUCAUCAUGCCUUCAGAAUCAGAGACGCUCGGACACAUAAUGUCAUUUUCAAAAAACAGGUAAAAAGGGAAUAAGUUAUUCAAAGCUUGCGAAUUUAUCACCUAUAGUCGGCCUCUG